ACGGAUGAAAAUGAAGGUACCUCCACAGGAAGCCCCGGCCAACUACCACCAGCAGCCGCGGUAAUAGGUAGGGGGGGAGUGUUGUCCGUUUUUAUUGGUCGUAAAGAGGUAGUAGGCGGUUCAACAAGUAGGUGGAAAAACUUCAGGGCUCAACCCUGAAACACGAUAGAUAACGUUCUAGAAGGAUACUAGGAGAUGAAAGAAUUCCGAGUGUAGCGGUGAAAUGAGUAGAUAUUAGGAGGAACACCAACGGAGAAGGCCGCUCAGUCGGCCGCUAUCGACGAUGCGGAGCGAAAGGUAGGGGAGCCAACAGGAUA
rnacentral:rRNA from 1 species